CCCGUGAUGGUCAUUGUUUACUAUACAAUACACUGUAUAAUACAUUGAUUUGUGUGAGUCUAUGGGGUUGAGGGUGACCUUUGGGAGCACUCCAUCCCCAAACAACCAAAUAUUUUUAUUUUUACAACCAGACUUGCAAAGUCAAUUCCAAUACUGUAUAUUACAACAUAUAUAUGUGCCUGUAAUAACAUAUUAACCAGUAACUACUCCAUAAUACUUUAUCUACAACACUACAUGAAUUGCAUUUCAUGUGAAUCUUGAUGCCGGAUUGCAUAUCAAAACAAUAUUUACAGAUUCUUAUUUAUUAUGUGAUACAAGUUAUGAUAUAGUGGUGCAAAAUCCUUGAAGGGUGGGAUGGGUGGUAAUUUCGAAGUACUUUGCCGCAGAGGUCAUACAAUUUUGCUUGCAAGUGACACAAUGAGGCUUACUGAUCCAAGCAGGAAACUAUUCAGACGAAGAGGUGAAACCUGAUUGGUCUAUUUUCCCGCACAUGCAUGGGAAGAGAUUUGACAAUGGUUUGUUGUUAAUUCAGCCUUGCGCUUUGCACGUGUAUGAUCACUUGAUUCACAGAUUGACCUUUGUACCAGACCUUUGUACUCCAGGAGACUUUGCACAACUUUACUCUUGUCCUAACGCUUG